ACGAACGCUGGCGGCGUGCCUAAUACCUGCAAGUCGAACGAACCGCGACUGAGUGCUUGCACUUGGUCAAGGUGAGUGGCGAACGGGUGAGUAACACGUGGGUAACCUACCUCAUAGUGGGGGAUAACAGUCGGAAACGACUGCUAAUACCGCAUAGGACAUGGAAUCACAUGAUUCUGUGAGGAAAGGUGGCGCAAGCUAUCGCUAAGAGAUGGACCCGCGGUGCAUUAGCUAGUUGGUAGGGUAAGGGCCUACCAAGGCGAUGAUGCAUAGCCGACCUGAGAGGGUGAUCGGCCACAUUGGGACUGAGACACGGCCCAAACUCCUACGGGAGGCAGCAGUAGGGAAUCUUCCGCAAUGGACGCAAGUCUGACGGAGCAGCGCCGCGUGAGUGAAGAAGGUCUUCGGAUCGUAAAGCUCUGUUGUUAGAGAAGAACAGCGCAUAGAGUAACUGUUAUGCGUGUGACGGUAUCUAACCAGAAAGCCACGGCUAACUACGUG
rnacentral:rRNA from 1 species